GUUUUUCCUUAUCCUUCCCUGUGGAGUCAGACAUCGCUCCCAUUGCUCGAUUGUUCAUCUUUACCGUUUUACCGGAUGGAGUUCUUGGAGAUUCAGAGAGCUUUGAGAUUGAAAACUGCUUACCCAACAAGGUAUCAGUUGUUCCUUUGGAAUAAGACUGAGCUGUUGACUAAACCUUUUCAACGAUAAAAGGCAGAUGGGAAAAGAGGUUCCUGACUUGACACGUGGGCAGUCCUAUAAGGCUAAGGUGGACUUGAGCUUCCGCCCAGCACAAAGUCUCCCCGCUUCCCACGCCCACCUGCGAGUUUCAGCUUCUCCUCAGUCCCUGUGCGCCCUCCGUGCGGUGGACCAGUGUGCUGCUCGCAAGGCCCGACGCUGAGCUGUCC